rnacentral:rRNA from 1 species
UACGGAGGAUGCGAGCGUUAUCCGGAUUUAUUGGGUUUAAAGGGUGCGUAGGCGGAUUUUUAAGUCAGCGGUAAAAUGUCCGGGCUCAACCCGGGCCGGCCGUUGAAACUGGGGAUCUUGAGUGGGCGAGAAGUAUGCGGAAUGCGUGGUGUAGCGGUGAAAUGCAUAGAUAUCACGCAGAACUCCGAUUGCGAAGGCAGCAUACCGGCGCCCUACUGACGCUGAGGCACGAAAGCGUGGGUAUCGAACAGG